GGAGUUUUGGCUCAGUGGUAGAGCAUCUGCUUGAUAUGCAGAAGGUCCCAGGUUCAAUUUUCACCAUCUCCA
rnacentral:tRNA from 1 species